GACGAACGCUGGCGGCGUGCCUAAUACAUGCAAGUAGAACGCUGAAGGAGGAGCUUGCUCUUCUGGAUGAGUUGCGAACGGGUGAGUAACGCGUAGGUAACCUGCCUGGUAGCGGGGGAUAACUAUUGGAAACGAUAGCUAAUACCGCAUAAGAGUAGAUGUUGCAUGACAUUUACUUAAAAGGUGCAAUUGCAUCACUACCAGAUGGACCUGCGUUGUAUUAGCUAGUUGGUGGGGUAACGGCUUACCAAGGCGACGAUACAUAGCCGACCUGAGAGGGUGAUCGUCCACACUGGGACUGAGACACGGCCCAGACUCCUACGGGAGGCAGCAGUAGGGAAUCUUCGGCAAUGGACGGAAGUCUGACCGAGCAACGCCGCGUGAGUGAAGAAGGUUUUCGGAUCGUAAAGCUCUGUUGUAAGAGAAGAACGAGUGUGAGAGUGGAAAGUUCACACUGUGACGGUAUCUUACCAGAAAGGGACGGCUAACUACGUG
rnacentral:rRNA from 1 species